UACGAAGGGGGCUAGCGUUGUUCGGAAUUACUGGGCGUAAAGCGCGCGCAGGCGGUUCUUCAAGUCAGAGGUGAAAGCCCAGAGCUCAACUCUGGAAUGGCCUUUGAGACUAGAGAACUAGGGUACGGGAGAGGUGAGUGGAAUUCCGAGUGUAGAGGUGAAAUUCGUAGAUAUUCGCAAGAACACCAGUGGCGAAGGCGGCUCACUGGCCCGGUACUGACGCUGAGGUGCGAAAGCGUGGGGAGCAAACAGGG
rnacentral:rRNA from 1 species